AAAAUUUGUCAUUUUAUGUUUGGACAACAACCCCCCCCCCCCGUUCUUUCUGGUCGUCCUGUGUGUCGCUGGCAAACCUACACUCCCCACUGCGAUAGGCAGUCAAGUAUUUUUAACCUGCACAUUUUUGUUUUUAUUUCCCGUAUUUUUAUUUUUUUAUGUUCAGAAAUAUCAUGACCCAUGACUUUAAGCCUGGAAGGAGUUGAGAGUCCCCACUCAACUGCAUGCCUUCCGAACAUAUUAGACUCCAUUUUACAUGCGACCAUUUUACCGGUACACGAAAUUUCAAAUUUUGGCGAGCGUACAUUUUCGAUUGACUAUAUACCAAUUACUGUGGGCCCCUUUAAAAAUUGCUAAAUUUUAAGAAAACAACACAAAAUAACGUAUCACAAUACAAAACUACUACAGAAUACAAUGCAGUGCAACGCAAUGCAAUUUAAUGCAAUGCAAUGCAACGCAACGCAAUCCGACGUGAGGUAGGUAAUUGUAACGCAAUGCAGUGCAACAGCAAUGCAAUUGAAUGCAGUGCAAUGCAACGCAACGCGGUGCAAUAUGCAACAAGAACAAGAUUCAAUCACCAACACCAGUGCCUAUGUUAGUUUUAGUUACGAUGAAAGUGCCAUUCAGGGGGAUAAGUGUAUGAACGUUUUUAUUAAACUGCAUGCUAAAAAUUUCUGUUGACUGUUAGAAUGGUCGCUUGUAAGUGGGGGUAACUUGCUAGGAUUUGCACAUUUAAAUAUCUACAGGUGCAUUAGGUCUCUUAGGUUUUAGUUUAAGACCAAUAUGAGCGAGUGAGAUAAUAAACUCGACCAGCUAAGUUAAGGCUUCAAGCGUGAAAUGCACGCAUUAGACCCCUCAGGAACGGAACCCAAACCUUUUUUCAACACCAAAUGUGAAAUUACCCCCACCUUACCACAUCGUUGAAGUACAAUGGUGGAUAUCCUGGGCAAAUGUGCAUUAUUGUGGUGGAUAUCUUGGUCAAUAUGUACAAUACUAUAAUACUGAUCAACCCUUAAAAUGGUUGAAAUUUUAAUACAGUAGCAUGCAUGAGAGUUUCGGCUGCGGACGCAAUUUCAUUUUGCUUUAUAAACUUACAAAAUGCAUGGUUGAAAUUUUAAUACAGUUGCAUGAGAGUUUAGGGUUCGCGCGUGGUUUGAAUUCGCCUCAACGUCUUCUUGAAUGAGUUCAACAAAGGAUCAGAUUGGUGAGAGGGUUGGCCGCGCGCGCUGCAUGUUUCAGUUGUAAAUGGUUGAAAUUUUAAUACAGUAGCAUGCGUGAGAGUUUCGGCUAGGUGCGCGCGUGGUUUGAAUUCGCCUCAACGUCUUGUUGAAUUAGUUCGACAAAGGAUCAGAUUGGUGAGAGGGUUGGCCGCGCGCGCUGCAUGUUUCAGUUGUAAAUGGUUGAAAUUUUAAUACAGUAUACCAUGCACAAUAGUUUCGGCUAGGUGCGCGCAUGGUUUGAAUUCGCCUCAACGUCUUGUUGAAUUAGUUCGACAAAGGAUCAGAUUGGUGAGAGGAUUGGCUGUGCGCGCU